rnacentral:lncRNA from 1 species
UUUUAAUGGUCUCUUUCCAUUGAGGUCCUUCCGAGGAGUUCACAGUCUCUUGAUAGCUUUGAGAUUCACUUUCUAGCAUAUAGGUCAGAAAAUCCGGACCAUAAGAUUUUUCUGUCCUUUCCCUUUUGCUACGUCUAAGUUCAACCUCAACCUCCUCUUCUGGUUCUUGGUCCUGACUAUGUUCAAUCAUAGUCUCAUACAUCCGUUUAGAAGAACUUGCCUCUUUUUUGGACCUGCAUGGAAA